rnacentral:tRNA from 15 species
GCCUCGGUAGCUCAGUGGAUAGAGCAACCGCCUCCUAAGCGGUAGGUCGCGCGUUCGAUUCGCGCUCGGGGCACCA